GUGCCAGCAGCCGCGGUAAUACGGAGGGGGUUAGCGUUGUUCGGAAUUACUGGGCGUAAAGCGUACGUAGGCGGAUCAGAAAGUUGGGGGUGAAAUCCCGGGGCUCAACCCCGGAACUGCCUCUUAAACUCCUGGUCUUGAGUUCGAGAGAGGUGAGUGGAAUUCCAAGUGUAGAGGUGAAAUUCGUAGAUAUUUGGAGGAACACCAGUGGCGAAGGCGGCUCACUGGCUCGAUACUGACGCUGAGGUACGAAAGUGUGGGGAGCAAACAGGAUUAGAUACCCUGGUAGUCCACACCGUAAACGAUGAAUGCCAGUCGUCGGGCAGUAUACUGUUCGGUGACACACCUAACGGAUUAAAGCAUUCCGCCUGGGGAGUACGGUCGCAAGAUUAAAACUCAAAGGAAUUGACGG
rnacentral:rRNA from 1 species